GGGGACGUAGCUCAAUCUGGCGGAGCGCUGCCCUGUCACGGCAGAGGUUGCGGGUUCAAAUCCCGUCGUCCCCG
rnacentral:tRNA from 2 species